CGCCCGUCACACCAUGGGAGUUGGUAAUACCCAAAGUCGGUUAGUUAACUUCGGAGACUGCUGCCUAAGGUAGGACUGAUGACUGGGGUGAAGUCGUAACAAGGUAUCCCUACGAGAACGUGGGGAUGGAACACCUCCUUUCUACGGUUAUAUUUAUAUAAUACACAAACACAAUUUAAUUACUAAUACUAAAUUUUGAAAAUGGUUAUGUAUCUAGUUUUGAGAGAUCUAAUGAAAUAGUUCUUUGAAAACUGAAUAGUAUAAUAAAUUUACAAAUAUGUAAUUUUUACAUAUUCCAACAAUUUAAAAUACCUUAAGAUAUUUAUCUUUAGUAUAAAACGAUAGGCUAUACAAAAGUUACAAAUUAACUUUUUUAAAUAAGUAAGAGUGUUUGGUGGAUGCCUUGGGUCUGAAAGUCGAUGAAGGACGUGAUUACCUGCGAUAAGCUUCGUGGAGCUGGAAAUAAGCUAUGAUACGGAGAUUUCCGAAUGGGGAAACCUAAUUAAGUAAACCUUAAUUGCUUUUUAAUGAAUUCAUAGUUAAAUAGACGAUAAACGUUGUGAAUUGAAACAUCUUAGUAACAACAGGAAAAGAAAAUAAAUAAUGAUUCCCUUAGUAGUGGCGAGCGAAUGGGGAAGAGCCCAAACCGUUUAACGGGGUUAUAGGACAUUUUAAUUGAGUAAAAAAAUUUUAUAAUAGCAGAAGAAGUUGGAAAGCUUCAACAUAGAAGGUGACAUUCCUGUAUGCGAAAUUGUAAAAUCUCAUAAGUGUAUCCUGAGUAGGGCGGGGCACGUGAAACCCUGUCUGAAUUAGCCGGGACCACCCGGUAAGGCUAAAUACUAAUCAGACACCGAUAGUGAACAA
rnacentral:sRNA from 2 species